AGGGCUUCCCAGACCCCAGGACACAAGAUCAGGGGUUUCUGGGCCUCGGGGCCAGGCAGGAAAGCUAGCAGGCUCCUCUGCUCACCAGUCCGGCAUUUGCACAACACUGAGACUGACAGCUUGGGUUGCUGAUAAAUGUGUUUACUCACAGGCCAGACCUGCACAGCCUGCAGACAAGGAGGAAGCGGUUUGUGGCUGGAGAGUUGGACACCCCCACCCCCACUCGGCGGUGCUCUCAGUGAGGCAGCCCCGGGUGAGAGCUGCCCACAACCCUUGUUCCCCGCAGGAUCCUGUUCUAGCUAUCCUUUCUCCCAACCUCGCCUCCAGGGCCCUUCCUCACUGCCCAAGGGGGCCGAGGUGCUGAGAGCUGAAGGUGACAACAAUACACAUGCAGGUCAGCAGGAAGGGGCAGCUUGGCCAGAAUGUAACCAGAGCAGACCAACCUGGCCGGGCAGCCCUGAGGCUCCCAGGGCCCUGUCACACUGGGGAUGGCGGUGCUGCCCACUGUAGCCCUGGAGGCGGGUGAGUCCUCAGGAGAAGGAACGGGGCUGCCUCUGGGGCCAAAGCAAACCCGACACCCGAUGCCCGGUGGGUUUCCACAACUCCCUGACCGUUUCCAGAGGCUUGUCCCGGUUCCGACAGACCUCAGGAAGCCCGGCCCCAGCUCACCCGGAAAGAUGUGGACACCAGGCCUGGAUCUUACCCCACAUGCAUCUUUGCUUGCUCCUGGCUUAAACACCAUGUAUUUCCACUUUGAGGCCAAAAACACCCAAAAAGGUGAUAGUGUAAUUUCAAAAAGCAAACAGAUUAGCAAAUCCAGGGAGACAUCCACCCUGCCUGGGCAGCUUCUAUAAAACGAAACCCAGCGCCUUGAGAAACAAAGUGAGCUGAGUCAAUCAUUCCUGCUUUAUAUUUAAACUGCAAAGACAGAACACAGAGCAUUCGAUUUGAAAAUUC
rnacentral:lncRNA from 1 species